rnacentral:pre_miRNA from 1 species
GCUGCCGCUCGCACCCGCUGCUGGCACCUGGUGCUGGUCCUGAUAGCUUGGUGCCGUCAGUGGGUGCAAGCGGUGGCUG